GAUGAACGCUGGCGGCGUGCCUAAUACAUGCAAGUCGAGCGAACAGACGAGGAGCUUGCUCCUCUGACGUUAGCGGCGGACGGGUGAGUAACACGUGGAUAACCUACCUAUAAGACUGGGAUAACUUCGGGAAACCGGAGCUAAUACCGGAUAAUAUAUUGAACCGCAUGGUUCAAUAGUGAAAGACGGUUUUGCUGUCACUUAUAGAUGGAUCCGCGCCGCAUUAGCUAGUUGGUAAGGUAACGGCUUACCAAGGCAACGAUGCGUAGCCGACCUGAGAGGGGGAUGGGCAACCAUGGAACGUAAAACGGGGCCCGACCCCCAGGGGGGGCACGGGGGGGGAAUUUUCCGAAAGGGGGGAAAACCUAACGGGACAAAGCCGGGGGAAUAAAAAAGGUUUUCGGAUCGUAAAACCUUUUUAUUAGGGAAAAACAAAUGUGCAAGUAAAGAUGCACGUCUUGACGGGAACUAAUCAAAAAGCCAGGGCUAAAUACGU
rnacentral:rRNA from 1 species